rnacentral:rRNA from 1 species
CCUACGGGUGGCAGCAGUGAGGAAUAUUGGUCAAUGGGCGGAAGCCUGAACCAGCCAAGUAGCGUGCAGGAUGACUGCCCUACGGGUUGUAAACUGCUUUUAUAUGGGAAUAACGUGCAGUAUGUAUACUGCUUUGCAUGUACCUUAUGAAUAAGGAUCGGCUAACUCCGUGCCAGCAGCCGCGGUAAUACGGAGGAUCCGGGCGUUAUCCGGAUUUAUUGGGUUUAAAGGGAGCGUAGGCGGGAUGUCAAGUCUGCUGUGAAAGGUCGGGGCUCAACCCGGGCAUUGCAGUGUGUACUGGCAUCCUUGAGUACAGGAAAGGCAGGCGGAAUUCGUGGUGUAGCGGUGAAAUGCUUAGAUAUGACGAAGAACUCCGAUUGCGAAGGCAGCUUGCUGGAGCGUAACUGACGCUGAUGCUCGAAAGCGCGGGUAUCGAACAGGAUUAGAUACCCUAGUAGUC